UUAAAGAUACUUUUACUUUCACAUUCUGCAGCCGAACCACCCCGCUGGUUAUCCGGACGUGUUCAGUUUCUAGUAUAGCUUUCGUUAAAGUGAAAUAACAGUUUACGUUGAACAACUAAAUCUCCAUCUCCAUUUGAGAUGAAGUUACAUAGACUGUAAGUUAAUCAGAAAGCUUCGUUCAAGGUAUGGUAAAUGUAAACGCAGACUAAAUGCUAUAGGCAACACGAGAAAUACGAUGUUAUUAGGCCUACUGCUUUCACUUUUGACAUAAUCUGAUGUAAAUUUUUUUGGUCUAAGGUGCUCAACAUAAAACAUUAACUCUCUCACCUUGUCUCGCUGCAACAGCUGCGUGAGUAUAUUUCACUCCAGAAAAGAACAAUGGGUAACGUUAAAGGUAAAGUUAAAUAUUGCGUCAGUGCACCUAACAGUGUCAAUAAAGUUGCUGAAAAAUUCAGGAAACAACUCAAAGAGAAGAAAACAAAAUAUGAAAACCUUCAAAAGCUGAAAAAUUGGACAAAUCGUGAUGUGAAGGAGUGUACAUUUGUUUUAGUAUUCUGUCCAAUUGUGUCUCGCGCUGGAACUGACAUUGAUGCAAAACUUAAUGAAAUAGAAAGAGAUUUUAAGGAAAAGUUAGUCAUUUUAAUAGUGCUUCAUCACACAUUUGACCCUGAGCGCAUUGUAUCAGACAGCAGUAAAUUUGUCGAUAGGGAUAGGGACAAUACCUGUACCCUGGACGUUCUGUUCCAUGAGGAUAAAGGAUUACU